rnacentral:rRNA from 1 species
AGUGAACGCUGGCGGUAGGCCUAACACAUGCAAGUCGAACGGCAGCACAGUAAGAGCUUGCUCUUACGGGUGGCGAGUGGCGGACGGGUGAGGAAUACAUCGGAAUCUACUUUUUCGUGGGGGAUAACGUAGGGAAGCUUACGCUAAUACCGCAUACGACCUACGGGUGAAAGCAGGGGAUCUUCGGACCUUGCGCGAUUGAAUGAGCCGAUGUCGGAUUAGCUAGUUGGCGGGGUAAAGGCCCACCAAGGCGACGAUCCGUAGCUGGUCUGAGAGGAUGAUCGGCCACACGGGAACUGAGACACGGUCCAGACUCCUACGAGAGGCAGCAGUGGGGAAUAUUGGACAAUGGGCGCAAGCCUGAUCCAGCCAUACCGCGUGGGUGAAGAAGGCCUUCGGGUUGUAAAGCCCUUUUGUUGGGAAAGAAAAGCAGCAGGUUAAUACCCCGCUGUUCUGACGGUACCCAAAGAAUAAGCACCGGCUAACUUCGUG